rnacentral:rRNA from 1 species
CCUACGGGUGGCUGCAGUGGGGAAUAUUGCACAAUGGGCGCAAGCCUGAUGCAGCGACGCCGCGUGAGGGAUGACGGCCUUCGGGUUGUAAACCUCUGUUAGCAUCGAAGAAGCGAAAGUGACGGUAGGUGCAGAGAAAGCGCCGGCUAACUACGUGCCAGCAGCCGCGGUAAUACGUAGGGCGCGAGCGUUGUCCGGAAUUAUUGGGCGUAAAGAGCUUGUAGGCGGUUGGUCGCGUCUGCUGUGAAAGGCCGGGGCUUAACUCCGGUUUUGCAGUGGGUACGGGCUAACUAGAGUGCAGUAGGGGAGACUGGAAUUCCUGGUGUAGCGGUGGAAUGCACAGAUAUCAGGAGGAACACCGAUGGUGAAGGCAGGUCUCUGGGCUGUAACUGACGCUGAGAAGCGAAAGCAUGGGGAGCGAACAGGAUUAGAUACCCUGGUAGUC